GUAGGGUGCGAGCGUUAAUCGGAAUUACUGGGCGUAAAGCGUGCGCAGGCGGUGAUGUAAGACAGAUGUGAAAUCCCCGGGCUCAACCUGGGAACUGCAUUUGUGACUGCAUCGCUGGAGUGCGGCAGAGGGGGAUGGAAUUCCGCGUGUAGCAGUGAAAUGCGUAGAUAUGCGGAGGAACACCGAUGGCGAAGGCAAUCCCCUGGGCCUGCACUGACGCUCAUGCACGAAAGCGUGGGGAGCAAACAGGAUUAGAUACCCUGGUAGUCCACGCCCUAAACGAUGUCAACUGGUUGUUGGGUCUUCACUGACUCAGUAACGAAGCUAACGCGUGAAGUUGACCGCCUGGGGAGUACGGCCGCAAGGUUG
rnacentral:rRNA from 1 species